rnacentral:rRNA from 1 species
UCAGAACGAACGCUGGCGGCAGGCUUAACACAUGCAAGUCGAGCGCCCCGCAAGGGGAGCGGCAGACGGGUGAGUAACGCGUGGGAACGUACCCUUUACUACGGAAUAACCCAGGGAAACUUGGACUAAUACCGUAUGUGCCCUUCGGGGGAAAGAUUUAUCGGUAAAGGAUCGGCCCGCGUUGGAUUAGCUAGUUGGUGGGGUAAAGGCCUACCAAGGCGACGAUCCAUAGCUGGUCUGAGAGGAUGAUCAGCCACAUUGGGACUGAGACACGGCCCAAACUCCUACGGGAGGCAGCAGUGGGGAAUAUUGGACAAUGGGCGCAAGCCUGAUCCAGCCAUGCCGCGUGAGUGAUGAAGGCCCUAGGGUUGUAAAGCUCUUUCACCGGUGAAGAUAAUGACGGUAACCGAGAGA